CAUUAUGCUGUUCAGAGUUUCACAAGAGACCAAUCCCUGCAGCGAAACUUGUCUCUUACGAAGAAACCAGAUUCGACUGUACGCUUCCCGGAGUCAUUUUAACCACAAAAAAGGGUUAUCGUAUAUGUGCGGAUCCUGAGGAGGACUGGGUGAAGCAGAUCACUGCUAAUAAAAACUUGGCCAAGACUCUGGCGACAAAUUAAAACAUCUCUCCAUGUAUUAGCUUUACUUUGCAGAAUGCUUCAUUUCACCUACAUAUUACUUAAAGCAAUAUGAUGUCAUAUGUAACAGGACAAAACUUUUAGUUAAACAUACGCCCGUAGCUGCACGCAGCCAUUUAUUUUAUCUUCUGCACAAAUAAAGGAGACAUUUAUUACUCA